CGACGUGAGUAACCUGCCUUGGAGUGGGGAAUAACACAUCGAAAGAUGUGCUAAUACCGCAUAAUGCAGUUGGGCCGCAUGGCUCUGGCUGCCAAAGAUUUAUCGCUCUGAGAUGGACUCGCGUCUGAUUAGCUGGUUGGCGGGGUAACGGCCCACCAAGGCGACGAUCAGUAGCCGGACUGAGAGGUUGACCGGCCACAUUGGGACUGAGACGCGGCCCAGACUCCUACGGGAGGCAGCAG
rnacentral:rRNA from 1 species